CGCCCGGACGCCCCCACCACCCCCCGAACGCUCGCCCGCGCCGUCGGGAGUCAGCGCCCCCCGGGAGGUCCGCUCCGUAGUCCGCGGCGGAGCGUUUGCGGCUGGGACAGGCGGCGGGACCGGGGCGUCGCCGGAGACACCCCCAGCGAAGUUGGGCUCUCCAGGUGUGGGGGUCCCGGGGGGCAGCGACGUCGCGGACCCCGCAUGUGGGAUGGGCGGCCCGGAGAAGACCGCGCUCGGCCGUGUUCACGCUUGUCCGUGGGCCUGAGGUCCCCGGAGGAUGACCUAGCACUGAGAAGCCCCGGCCGGCGUCCCCAGGGCCUCCGAGGACGAAGUUGACCCCGACCGGGCCGUCCGCCAGUUCCGAGGCCCGGGUCCCACUGGAACUCGCGUCUGAGCCGCCGUCCCGGACGCCCGGUGCCCGCGGGUCUGCAGACGUUGCAGCGGGCUCGGACUCGAAGCCGGGACUGACGUAUAGGACAAUCGUUUCUGUUGGAAGAAGGGUUUUUCCCUUCCUUUUGGGGUUUUUGUUGCCUUUUUUUUUCUUUCUAUUUUCUUUGUAAAAUUUUGGAGAAGGGAAGUCGGAACACAAGGACCGCUCACCCGCGGACUCAGGGCUGGCGGCGGGACUCCAGAACCCUGGGUCCAGCAUGGAGGUGGUGGACCCGCAGCAGCUGGGCAUGUUCACGGAGGGCGAGCUGAUGUCGGUGGGCAUGGACACGUUCAUCCACCGCAUUGACUCCACCGAGGUCAUCUACCAGCCGCGCCGCAAGCGGGCCAAGCUCAUUGGCAAGUACCUGAUGGGGGACCUGCUGGGGGAAGGCUCUUACGGCAAGGUGAAGGAGGUGCUGGACUCGGAGACGCUGUGCAGGAGGGCCGUCAAGAUCCUCAAGAAGAAGAAGUUGCGAAGGAUCCCCAACGGGGAGGCCAACGUGAAGAAGUAAGUACGACUUGCUGGGGCCGGGGCCAGCCGGGGCCGGGCCGGGCCGGGCCAGGCCAGUCACUGUGCGGAUGGUUCUGUCUUCCUUCCUUCUCUCCUCCCUCCCUCCCUUACUUCCUCUUAACACCCAGAGCUGGACCCGGCCGGCGCCUGUGUCCUCCGUGCCAGGGAGAGCUUGGUUGGAGGCCUGCCUUACGGACUUUCACUCAGGCAGGGCCAGUUGUCGCAGCCGGGCGUGCGUUUGCUUGGGCUCUUGGACGCCCUGGUAGCAAAACCCUCCUGAGAAGGGAGCGGCCCCCAAUCCCCUAAGUCUAGCCCCGUGGCUCCCCCAGCUGUCCAAGGAGCAGAGGCGCCCAGUGGAAUCAGCCUGUGUUUAUUUGGGCCCCGAGAGUUUGUGUGCGGCCGCCAGCAGGUUUUCUGCGCAAUGUGUGGCAGUUACCGGGGCCGGCAGAAAAUGUGAUUUGUUUAUCCUGUCGGAGGGGAACCCUGGGCUGCCAAAAAUAACUGCACCGGCUUAUCAGCCAGCAGGAGGGAAACGUAGCCUUUCCUCAUUUGCCAGGGAUGUGACGCUGGAAGCAUCCCUGGGCCCCGGCGCUGGCAGCCCUGCCCGAGGAGGACUGUGCCUCCCUCCCGAAUUGCAUCCGGAAGACCUUACUUUUCAAACUGACUUCUUCAGGCGUGGGGCUGCCGCUGGGCAUCCCGGACGCCUCUGCAUCUGUGCGUGGAGAAGCUCCUACCGAGGGCAGCGCGGGCCGGCCUCAGCCUCUCCCAGCUGGUGGGGGGGGUGUCCCUUCCUUAUCGCAACCAGACACGCUGCACCUGCCGUCUCCUGGCGGGCCCUGCCCAGGCCCUGCUCCUCUCCCAGUCCUCUUAACUUUCAUAACUUUGCCUCCUGUUUCCAAGAAAGGACUUUAUCUACUGGGCUAGGCCUCGAGGGACUGGCAGGGACACCCGGCACAGGGCACCAUGACCUUGGAAGGAGGUCCGGGGAGGGGCCCCUGCCCUGUCUGCUCUCACCUCCCUCCUGCUCAGGGGCCCUGGGGUUCACAUACUUCUC